GUAAAAGUGCGUGUAAUUUUUCGCUGCUCUUUUCUUAUUUUCUCUUCUUUUACGCAGAAGAAAGCCUCCUGGAAAUGGCCCUUAGCCACACCCCCAAGAACACACGCGGUCCUCAGGAUGUCCUCAAACUGUCAUCACGUCCUCGUCCGUGAUAGGAUGAACGGAGGAGGUCCACAGGCUGUCAUCAUAGGUGCUUCCAGUGAUUGUCAUUUGCGUACAUCCUGCGGUCGUCAACCGGAUGACAAGCACAGGAGAAGUGGACCUUGUCCAGAGGAGAUGGGUUGGACAUUUGUGGAAAAAAACUGUGUAGCCCUGAGACAAUAGGCUGACGUCACGACCAAUGAGCAAGGCCUGCAGGGGACCCAAGGAUUCACUUCUCUCUUGGACACUGACGGGUGUGGACGCAUUAAUUCUGUUCCUAGCAAUUGCGUUGGCCGUUAGUGGAAGAGCGUAGCUUCAGUGGGAUUCCGUUUGCCUCUGAUGGGGUGCGGAUGUGUGGUUCGUCUCUAGUGAAUGGUGGAUUUUGUGACGAGCGGAUUUACAAUGAGGGAAUGUAGUGUAUGUGCCCGAUGAUGAGCAGUCCUAACCUGCCCAGACAUGCCAUGAUGACAUCACAGCUGACGUCACAGGAUGUCCGGAAGUGGUAGUCGCAGCUGAAGAUGCUUUCCAACCCGCCUCUGUGCUCCGUCGGCCAGCGAUGGUCAGCGGCGGUUCCGGACCGCUUUCUUCAAGAUGGCCAUCGUUGAUCUUCAACUAAAGUCCUUCUCUCCGUUCUAUUUCUAUCUUUUUAGUUUAUUUGCUACCUAUUUUUUUUAUUUUGUAUCAGCUCAAGUAGCCCACAACUCACACAGUGGUCUGGACACGUUUUAGAUGCUGCCCAAUUAGUGUGAUGACUCACUGAAUGAUUCUAAUUACUGUGGGGGGUCCCAAACUGCUCUAACUGCUAAUUAAUGGCGUCCAGGCCUCUGUGUGAGUUGUGGGCUAGUUGAGCUGAUCAUAUACUACUAAUAUGGCCCUUUACUUUAGCGUCUGAAAAUCUUGUAAAGAUGUUGAGGCCCUUGGCAGGUCAUCUUUGCAAGGUGCUGUGCAAGCCUAGUGUAGCAGUCAGCUGACUGAAUUGGUUACCAAGAAGCACAGGGUCCAGUCUCGCAGUCGACUCCCUUGAUGGCUGACUAACUUUGUUGGAGAUGAGUGACCCAUGGGCCUUCCGAGAGGGUCAUAGAGAGAGACAUGAAAAGCCUACCUACGACUCAGCUCAUCUUGUGCCAUAAUGGCGUCUUUUAGUUGGCGGUGAAAACCUAAAUGAUGACUUACAACAACAACGGUUAGUAACGUGCUUCAUGCAAAUUUGAAGGGCACUGUAAUGGGGUGAGUAUCAAUAGGGUUCUUCGUCUUCGAGUUAAACCCGAUUUUUCACAAUAGUUCUCCCCGCCCCCGAACAAAUUUUCAAGGAUUCGUGUAAAACCCGAUAUCUACCCAAAAUCAUUGAGGUCCUUCAACUUGUCGUUCUUGAUAAACCGUCGGAAAAUACAGUCAAACUCCUUUACAACGAAACUCGGGGGACAACAAAAAAAAUUCGCAGUAAAGGUAUUUUCGUUAAAAAGGAUGUCCAUUAUUGGACCUAUAGGGCUCCAGCGGGACCGCAAAAAAUUUGCUGUAGUGGUAUUUUCGUUAAAAAGGUGUUCGCUAUAAAGGAGUUUGACUGUAUCAGCAAAGAGAGCUAUUUGUAACAACCUAUUUGUCCUCCGUUUAUGAUCUCUCCCGCAGGAGUCAAAGAUGAGCUCUUGUGGAGCUCGAGCAAGUGUUUGAAUAUUGUGAUCAUUCACUAUCACAGUUCCGACUGCAAAUAUAAAGCUUAUUGUUUCUCCUCCAGUGUCACAGCAGUGGCUUGUUUCAUAUGCCUUUCAUUUCACCUAAAAAUUCCCUGGUGACAUAUCGAACAGAGAUCAUAUUUCUCGCCCCUGGUUUCUCCCACAAUUCUCGUGUGUAAAUAGCACCCGAGUUUUCCCUCACGAAUUUGAAAAAUCAUAAAACCCGAAAACGAGUAACCCUAAGUAUCUAGAGACAAUGGGUUACAUGGGUUACAAUACAUGCAUUAAGGUAGGAGAGUACGUGCAUCGCUCGUCACAAAGAUAUUCUGCAGCAUAUGAGAGAGAUCUUAAACCUGACAGGCUGCUAACACUGGACAUCCUGAACAUAACCUGCUUCCUAGCGUUUUUUGACUGCUUCAUUUCAUAUAUUUUCCAGGCCUGCUUUCAACUGAUGGGCCCAACUGUCUAAAGUCUUGGUGUCUUUAUCAUGGUUUAUAUCAGUCAUCACCUCCACAACGCCUGGAUGGUGCUUGACCUGAGUUCAUCGACAAUUUUUUAUUGCUAACUGGCAUUAAAGUAGCACAGAAGUCAUUUUUAA